AAUAGAUACCCGGGUAGUCCACGCCGUAAACGAUGUCGACUUGGAGGUUGUGCCCUUGAGGCGUGGCUUCCGGAGCUAACGCGUUAAGUCGACCGCCUGGGGAGUACGGCCGCAAGGUUAAAACUCAAAUGAAUUGACGGGGGCCCGCACAAGCGGUGGAGCAUGUGGUUUAAUUCGAUGCAGCGCGAAGAACCUUACCUGGUCUUGACAUCCACGGAAGUUUUCAGAGAUGAGAAUGUGCCUUCGGGAACCGUGAGACAGGUGCUGCAUGGCUGUCGUCAGCUCGUGUUGUGAAAUGUUGGGUUAAGUCCCGCAACGAGCGCAACCCUUAUCCUUUGUUGCCAGCGGUCCGGCCGGGAACUCAAAGGAGACUGGCCAGUGAUAAACUGGAGGAAGGUGGGGAUGACGUCAAGUCAUCAUGGCCCUUACGACCAGGGCUACACACGUGCUACAAUGGCGCAUACAAAGNGAAGCGACCUCGCGAGAGCAAGCGGACCUCAUAAAGUGCGUCGUAGUCCGGA
rnacentral:rRNA from 1 species